rnacentral:rRNA from 1 species
UGAAGGACAGCGGCAAACGGCGUAGUUAUGCGUAGGUACGUACCCUCAGGUCGGGGAUAGCCACGGGAAACUGUGGGUAAUACCCGAUGAUCUCUGCGGAGCAAAGUGUGAUUCCGCCUGAGGAGCGGCUUACGUGAUAUUAGCUUGAUGGUGGGGUAAUGGCCUACCAUGGCGACGAUGUCCAGGGGGUGUGAGAGCAUGGCCCCCACGACCGGAACUGAGAUACUGUCCGGACACCUACGGGUGGCUGCAGUCGAGAAUCUUCCGCAAUGGGCGAAAGGCUGACGGAACGACCGCGCGUGCGGGAUGAAGGCCCUUGGGUUGUAAACGCUGUCAGAGGGGAUGAAAUCAUGGUUGGCUAUCCU